AACCUAGAUAUUAGUGAGCAGCAUCUAGGAUCUACUCCUUCUGAUCACUCUACCAUGUUUCCAGAAGACUUUCUUCCACCAAACCUAGAUAUUAUUGAGCAGCAUCUAGGAUCUACUCCUUCUGAUCACACUACCAUGUUUCCAGAAGACUUUCUUCCACCAAACCUAGAUAUUAUUGAGCAGCAUCUAGGAUCUACUCCUUCUGAUCAUGCUACCAUGUUUCCAGAAGACUUUCUUCCACCAAACCUAGAUAUUAUUGAGCAGCAUCUAGGAUCUACUCUUUCCGGUCACGCUCCCGUGUCUCCAGGAGACUCUCAUCCACCAAGCCCAG
rnacentral:lncRNA from 1 species